UACGUAGGGGGCAAGCGUUGUCCGGAUUUAUUGGGCGUAAAGAGCGUGUAGGCGGCCUGAAAGGUCAGCUGUGAAAACUCGAGGCUCAACCUCGAGACGUCGGUUGAAACCAUCUGGCUAGAGUCCGGAAGAGGAGUGUGGAAUUCCCGGUGUAGCGGUGAAAUGCGCAGAUAUCGGGAAGGAACACCGGUGGCGAAGGCGGUUCUCUGGGCCUUACCUGACGCUGAGGAGCGAAAGCGUGGGGAGCGAACAGG
rnacentral:rRNA from 1 species